rnacentral:misc_RNA from 1 species
AUAAUAAUAAUAAUAAUAAUAACUGAAUAAGAAGCACCCAAAAAUGAUCCUAAUAUGGAAUAGACACUAGAACAUAAAAAGAAUAUAAUAAUAAUUAAACCAGAAAAAAAAUAGCGUGGCCCAAACAAAAUCCAAAAGAAAAAUCAUAUAUCCAAAAGCAAAAGGACAGGCGGGAAAUGGGAGGAGAAAACGCAGUCCCUGUGACACGCGCCGACGGGCGGACAUCCCAAAAAAAGAAUUGUGCAAUUUUUAUUCUCUGUGGCACAUGUUCACUGCAACCUAGAUCAUCGCUCGUCAAUCAACCGGAUCGAAACGGUUUGCCAUUCUACCGCUUACUUCACGGACGACGGACUGAAGGAGACAAUACUCGCUGUGAUACUCCGUGUCCACUUCCUUUCCCUUGCGCUUCCGGUCCUCUGCUGCCGGCUUUUGAGAGGGCGGUUCGGUGCUGGAGCUUGAGCCACCGGGGGACGAAGUCACGGUCAUCUCACACGUCAUCUUAUCCUUACUAUUAUUACUUGCACCUGCCUGGGAAGAGGUGCCUGCUACUGCAGUGCCGCUCAUGGUCCCGCAGGCAUUAUCGCCGCUAGAAACAACGGUAGUACUCCUACCGUCUGCCGCCUCUGAAAUUCUAGACUCAGACCCCAUCGCCGGUGUAUCAUUGGAAUCUACAACUGUCAACUCUCUCAGCACGGUUUUUAAAUUAGACGGUCCUGAUUCGGACUUGCCAACCGUCGCUCUAUGCCUGGAGAAGUACCCGAAGUUCUGCACCACCUCCGCCCUCCUCGUCGGUGGUAUCGGAGGUCUAGAAGCCGCGGCGGUAGCAGAAACCGCCGGCUGUGGGCGAGUCUCUGGAUCGAGAUUUGAAUGUAUGGGAGAGGCGCUGGUAUUUGUGGUGGUGGAAGUGACGCAGGCAGUGGAAGGAUAAGGGAGAUCGGCGCAGAAAUCUUGGUCAAAAUUAGUAUCGUUGAGAGGGUAGUGAAGCCAAGCGGCCAUCUCGUCUUCUUGCAUGAAAAGAAGCUGCUGCUGCUGUUCAUGUGAUGAUCGGAUCUCCCUAGGGUUUGAUUGGUCGACAGGGGGCACAUCGUCGUCGUAUUUGUGAUGCUGUGAUUUCUUGAAAGGCGUCUGGGUUUGGCUCUGGACGACCACC